GAUGAACGCUAGCGGGAGGCCUAACACAUGCAAGCCGAGCGGUAUUUAUUCUUCGGAAUAGAGAGAGCGGCGUACGGGUGCGGAACACGUGUGCAACCUGCCUUUAUCAGGGGGAUAGCCUUUCGAAAGGAAGAUUAAUACCCCAUAAUAUAUUGAUUGGCAUCAAUUGAUAUUGAACACUCCGGUGGAUAAAGAUGGGCACGCGCAAGAUUAGAUAGUUGGUGAGGUAACGGCUCACCAAGUCGAUGAUCCUUAGGGGGCCUGAGAGGGUGAUCCACCACACUGGUACUGAGACACGGACCAGACUCCUACGGGAGGCAGCAGUGAGGAAUAUUGGACAAUGGGUGAGAGCCUGAUCCAGCCAUCCCGCGUGAAGGACGACGGUUCUAUGGAUUGUAAACUUCUCUUAUAUAGGGAUAAACCUACUUACGUGUAAGUAGCUGAAGGUACUAUAUGAAUAAGCACCGGCUAACUCCGUGCCAGCCGCCGCUGUAA
rnacentral:rRNA from 1 species